AAAGAUACUGGCGCCCUAGCUGCCAAGUGGAGCAGCAAGCCUACGGGUCCCUUCCUAGAAGCUGCAGAGGAGCAGUGGAGCAGUGGCCUGGGUGGGUUGGAGCUCAGGUGGCAAGCAUGGCCCCUGGUCUGACAUUCUGAGAGCCAAGAUGGGAGGACCUGUCACCUUUUGUCCACCAGGCCUGGGUAUGGUACAGAUAGAUGCUUGCGGCAGAAACCGGCUGCAUGCAGCGCUGCAGCAACCUGCUAGCAUCGAUCAUGACCAUUGGAAGACCUCAACUCUCAACCCCCAACCCCACUUCCUGACCUGUGGUAAGAAAAUGGAAAUGGAGCAGACCUGAAUGGAAGUCCAGAUUCUAGAGCUGAUAUAUAGUGUUAGUAGGUUUACAAACCCUAAUUAGCAUAAAUUUGGAUCAUUGUCAUUAGUAGUUUUCAAACCCUAGUUGGCAAAAGUUUGGACCAAUAGCAGUGACCCAAGUGCUAGACAAAUCCCCAGUCUAGCACACUCCUGCAAGGAAACAUGCUAUGGAGUCCCCUCUUGGAUGGCAAGGUUUCUUUUCCUGUUCUUGAAUAAAUUCUACUAUUAUACUCACACAUCCUGCCUGGUCUGUGGGUUUCAUUCUUUGAAUUCCUGAGACAAGAACCCAGAAAGAAAAAGAUUGAUGGUGAGCUGCAGGGAGGGCAGGGCUGGCCAUUAAGAACUGCAACACUUGGGGCCGCAGAGGCUGCCUCUUGUGCAGAUCCCACCCGCCAGCAGAAGUGGAGAAACCCCAGUGUUACCUGCCAGCAGAAGCAGGCAAAUGAGUUUUA
rnacentral:lncRNA from 1 species